UGGGGAAUAUUGCACAAUGGGCGAAAGCCUGAUGCAGCUAUGCCGCGUGUAUGAAGAAGGCCUUUGGGUUGUAAAGUACUUUCGUUAAGGAAGAAAAGUAAAAAACUAAUAAUUUUUUACUGUGACGUUACUUAAAGAAGAAGCACCGGCUAACUCCGUGCCAGCAGCCGCGGUAAUACGGAGGGUGCUAGCGUUAAUCAGAAUUACUGGGCGUAAAGAGCACGUAGGUUGUUUAUUAAGUCAGAUGUGAAAUACCUAAGCUUAACUUAGGAACUGCAUUUGAAACUAAUAUACUUUUGGAGUAUCGUAGAGGGAGGUAGAAUUCUAGGUGUAGCGGUGAAAUGCGUAGAUAUCUAGAGGAAUACCUGUGGCGAAAGCGACCUCCUGGACGAAUACUGACACUGAGGUGCGAAAGCGUGGGGAGCAAACAGG
rnacentral:rRNA from 1 species